rnacentral:tRNA from 4 species
GUGACUGUAGCUCAGCCGGUUAGAGUUCCGGAUUGUGAUUCCGGAGGUCAUGGGUUCGAAUCCCAUCAGUCACCCCA